GACGAACGCUGGCGGCGUGCUUAACACAUGCAAGUCGAACGGAAAGGCCCUGCUUUUGUGGGGUGCUCGAGUGGCGAACGGGUGAGUAACGCGUGAGUAACCUGCCCUUGACUUUGGGAUAACUUCAGGAAACUGGGGCUAAUACCGGAUAGGAGCUCCUGAUGCAUGGUGGGGGUUGGAAAGUUUCGGCGGUUGGGGAUGGACUCGCGGGUUAUCAGCUUGUUGGUGGGGUAGUGGCUUACCAAGGCUUUGACGGGUAGCCGGCCUGAGGGGGUGACCGGCCACAUUGGGACUGCGAUACGGCCCAGACUCCUACGGGAGGCAGCAGUGGGGAAUAUUGCACAAUGGGCGGAAGCCUGAUGCAGCAACGCCGCGUGCGGGAUGACGGCCUUCGGGUUGUAAACCGCUUUCGCCUGUAACGAAGCGUGAGUGACGGUAAUGGGUAAAGAAGCACCGGCUAACUACGUG
rnacentral:rRNA from 1 species